rnacentral:rRNA from 1 species
AUCGAACGCUGGCGGCAGGCCUAACACAUGCAAGUCGAGCGAGCGGCGGACGGGUGAGUAAUGUCUGGGAAACUGUCUGUUGGCGGGGGAUAACUACUGGAUACGGUAUCUAAUACCGCAUACCAUCCGCUGUGCCCAGUGGGGAGUAGCUAGUCGGUGGGGUAAUGGCUCACCUAGGCGACGAUCCCUAGCUGGUCUGAGAGGAUGAUCAGCCACACUGGAACUGAGACACGGUCCAGACUCCUACGGGAGGCAGCAGUGGGGAAUAUUGGGCAAUGGGCGAAAGCCUGAUGCAGCAAUGCCGCGUGUGUGAAGAAGGCCUUCGGGUUGUAAAGCACUGUCGGCGGGGAAGCGUUACCCGCAGAAGAAGCACCGGCUAACUCCGUGCCAGCAGCCGCGGUAAUUC